CCUCAAGGCAGGUAGGGACGGAACAGGGGGGGGAAGCCCCGGCUAACUACGUGCCAGCAGCCGCGGUAAUACGGAGGGGGCUAGCGUUAUCCGGAUUGACUGGGCGUAAAGGGUGCGUAGGCGGUCUUGCAAGUCAGGAGUGAAAGGCUACGGCUCAACCGUAGUAAGCUCUUGAAACUGGGAGACUUGAGUGCAGGAGAGGAG
rnacentral:rRNA from 1 species